UAGAAAUUGUUGCCCUGCAGUGACUUCUCCUCACCUGUUUCUCCCCUAUACCCGUUAGUGGGUAAUCUGGACUUGGAACCGGUGAAAUCUCCACAUUACCUGAAAUCUUUAGGCAUACCAACACUGCAGACUGAAAGAUAUCUAUACAGGAGGCACGUUAACGCACCUCCCUGCCCCACAUCCAAUCAACUUCAUCACACAUGUUCACUACCACGAACAAGUAAGGUUUGUGAAAAACAUCCUGAACCUCGAAUCAGCGAACAGACAACUAACCGACUACGAGGCACUUUGCACGGAAACGCUGCCGCUGGCCCACACCAUUUCGGUACCAUAUCACCUACUGCAUACACAACAGCUCCCAUACUUUACUAAAUACUGGGAAACAGAUUUGAGACACCCCCUAACACCUAAACAAUGGACCCAACUGUUCGCACUAACGCACAAAUCAUCCAUUAGCACCAAGAGGCAAGCUUCAAGAUGGUGUCCCACAGGUACAAGAGUACAGAAAGACAUUUUACUAUGGGAUUCAACUGUGACCUUGAAUGCUGGUGGAGGUGCCGGAAGAUACAACCUUUCUGGGAUGAGCUAUACUAGACUGUGUCCUUAAUCACAGAAGCACAAUUGAAAUUUUCACCGGACACCUAACUACUUCAAGUAACUACGAUUCCACUCAAAUCUUACAAGAGAUCAAUAUUACCACACUUACUUAAUGCUGGGGAAUCGAGGAGCCCAUAUUUAUAG